rnacentral:rRNA from 1 species
UACGAAGGGGGCUAGCGUUGCUCGGAAUGACUGGGCGUAAAGGGCGCGUAGGCGGAUGGUACAGUCAGAUGUGAAAUUCCCGGGCUUAACCUGGGGGGCUGCAUUUGAUACGUGCGAUCUGGAGUGAGGAAGAGGGUCGUGGAAUUCCCAGUGUAGAGGUGAAAUUCGUAGAUAUUGGGAAGAACACCGGUGGCGAAGGCGGCGACCUGGUCCUUGACUGACGCUGAGGCGCGAAAGCGUGGGGAGCAAACAGG